UUACUUACCUGGCAGGGGAGAGACCGUGAUCAAAAAGGGCGAUUCUUCCAGGACGAGGCUAUCCCACUGCACUUCGGGUUUGCUGACGCCUGCGAUGUCACCAAAUGCAGGAUAUGCGACUGCAAAAUAUGUGGUAGUGGGGGACUGUGUUCAGAGCUAGAUUGGGCUCUUA